GCCGGGCGUGGUGGUGUGUGCCUGUAGUCCCAGCUACUCAGGAGGCUGAGGCAGGAGAAUCACUUGAACCCAGGAAGUGGAGGUUGCAGUGAGCCAAGAUCACGCCACUGCACUCCAGCCUGGGUGAUAGAGUGAGACUCUGUCUCAA
rnacentral:SRP_RNA from 2 species